UGGGGAAUAUUGGACAAUGGGCGAAAGCCUGAUCCAGCCAUGCCGCGUGAGUGACGAAGGUCUUCGGAUUGUAAAGCUCUUUUGGCGGGGACGAUAAUGACGGUACCCGCAGAAUAAGCCCGGCUAACUUCGUGCCAGCAGCCGCGGUAAUACGAAGGGAGCUAGCGUUGUUCGGAAUCACUGGGCGUAAAGCGCACGUAGGCGGAUAGUUAAGUCAGGGGUGAAAUCCUGGGGCUCAACCCCAGAACUGCCUUUGAUACUGGCUGUCUCGAGGUCGAGAGAGGUUGGUGGAAUUCCUAGUGUAGAGGUGAAAUUCGUAGAUAUUAGGAAGAACACCAGUGGCGAAGGCGGCCAACUGGCUCGAUACUGACGCUGAGGUGCGAAAGCGUGGGGAGCAAACAGGAUUAGAUACCCUCGUAGUCCCUGAGCGGGCUGGCAAGGCGCAU
rnacentral:rRNA from 1 species